GUGUGUACUGUUAACCUGACUGCUAAUGCAUCUACACACGCAUUACAUACAUAAUGCAACACUGGUAUCAGUUUCUGGAAAUGCUUCUCUCAGAAAUGGAGGGAGAAGGGAUGAAUUAGAGGCUUUUUGAAGACCUUCCCAUAUCCUUGAUCUCCUCCCAAAGUGGGAUCCAUCAAACAACAUGCUUUAGAUAGUAAUCUUAUAAGCUGGGUACCAGCCAUUUUACAAUUGAGUGACUCACAACAACUAAAACGCUACCAUCCAUAGUCAAUACAACAAUAUGUGGGAGUGGGCAUUUCUUCAGGAACCAAGACCCAAGCUGGGUAGGUCUUUGUAGGUAAGCACCAAGACCUUGAAUGGAGCUUAGAAAUGAACUAAAACACAGUGGUGAAGUAUAUUCUCAAUUACCACUCUGGCCAGUAUUUCAGAAGGUAUUAAUGAGAGUUUCUGGACUGUAUUCAACAGCAAUAUAAGUUUAAUGUAUUAGAGUAAAAUGAAAGUUUACCAGAGUAGGGAUAACUUAGACAAAACUGUCUAUAUCCAGAAGAGGUCACAAUUACAUACCCACCUAAGCUGGUGCAAGGUGCUCUAUGCCAUUGAGGUUACUUGAGCAUCUAGUGACAAAACUUCUAGGACAGCCGGAAGGUGCAUCACAAUUCAAAGCAGGCUGAACCUUAACUCCCUAGAUAGGGGAGCUAUCUACCCACAGAACCUUGUCUUGUCAAGAUUGAGCUUUGGGUUAUUAGUCUUCAUCCAGCCCAUUGCUGAUUUCAGACAUCUGUUAAGCAUUUCCACUAACAUAUGUUAAAAGAGAAAUAGGGAUGUGUGUCAUUGGCAUGCUGAUGACACUUCAUUUGAAAUCCUCACAUAAACUCUCUUGACACCUUCAAGUAGAAGUUGACAAGUAUGGAUGAUAAAAAAAACCACACUGCAGGACCCCAUAGCAGAAACGCCACGGGACAAAGACAUAAUCCUCCAACACAACUUCCUGGAAAUGACUUUGCAGGUGGGAAUGGAAUCGCCAUGACACCAUACUUGAAGCUCCCAAUCCAUCAAGCCUAUGCAGAAGGAUACCAUGGUGAUUGAGGUCAAGGCGACUGAGGUCAAGGACAACUCAUUGGGUCAGAGUCCUCCUGUCCCUUGGCUACCAAACAUACAUCAAACUUGGCAUGAGACUCAUUGGAUGAAUCCAAGUUUUAUCGCUUUGCUGCAAAUAAGUGUCCUCAUUUUCUCUUCUCAAAAUGUUUUUUAAACAUGUUGGGAUGUUGUUUGAUCCAAUACAGAAACAGGAAUGCUAAACCUCCAAAAAACGAGUUUAUAGUGAAGUUGAAACUUUCUUACUCUUAAAGUCCAGAAGAAUGCAUUCUUCAUCAUGGAAGUCCACCUAAAGUAGUGUUUUCCAACCUUCUCAUAACUUUUCUAAAUGAAAGCUUCAGGCAUGCUUCACUCUUACAACCAAAAUGUAUAACAGUAAGAAUUCCCUGCCUUCAGAAGAGUCUACCCCCAUGUUACUGAAUGAGUCACAUAUCUAGUGUACCAGCUAGCUGGAAUGGGGCAAGCUGAGUAGUGACUUGUUACAUUUCUUUAAAAUUAACAGACUCCUCUGAGGGUAGCUACUUCUAUGGCAUCUUUUCAUAAAGAACUAUUGAAUUAUCUAAUUUCACUGGGAGGAAGUGAUCCCAAAACAGGCAGUCUGUAAUAAAGUUGAUUUUUUUUGAAAUCAGAAACUUUCAUCUGAAUCCAUUUUGAACAAAUAGAAUCAGUUAUUCAUUUGAGGAGAUUUUUCAACAUACCAGGUUUCUUUUGCAAGGAGCCAAUCAGUGUUUUGACUUGGAAAGCAGCCUCUUUUGCCAUAAGGGACUCUAGCCUCAUGAGAAGAUAUUUAGAAUCCAUUUCAGACAACUCUGAUGGAAAUUUCUAAAUUUUAAGUGUAUAAAUUUAUUCUCGCAUGUAUCUCCCCUUUUUUAUUUUUUAGUUACAAUUAAAAAUUCUUUUA